rnacentral:sRNA from 1 species
UUGGACCCUGCAGGCUCCUUUGUCCCAACCAACACCAAACAAGCUCUGUCAAACAUGCUACAGCGGCGCUCGGGCGCCAUGAUGCAGCCGCCUUCUCUUCAUGCAAUCACAUCGCAGCAGCAGUUGAUACAGAUGAAGCUUCUGCAGCAGCAGCAGCAACAGCGACUUCUCAGGCAAGCCCAGACUCGGCCUUUCCAACAGAUGCAGCAGCCCCAGCAGCCCCAGCCCCAGCAGCCUCCCCAGCCCCAGCAGUCCUCGCAGCCCCAGAGUCAGACCCUUGGUCUCCAAGCAAUGCAGCCCCAGCAGCCCUUGUUUCCC